CGGAUCACGCGUUGGGUGUAUCAAAGCCAAGAUGGCUGGUAGUUAGGUACCAAUCGUGAUACAUCGGCUAUCUCGGAUUCCUCCGUAAGAUAGGCCUCGUGGCUAACGGUCGCCAUAUUGCCUUGUAUUACUACUUUACUACCCAAAAGGUUGUCAGUCUAUUGUUAUGAGGCUGUAUACGAUGCGCGUUGAACUAGCGCCAAACUUUUUACCGAAACUUUGAUAUAAAUAGCACUAUUAACGUUCAUUUGUGUUGCAUUUUGACCUAUUAUCCAAGUGAUUUACUUUUCCAUUUUUAUUUAAUCACCCUAUCAUCCAAUUUUUAAGAUAAAAUUACGGUGUUUACAAAACCAACCAAACCGAAAGUGAAACUGGAUGCAUUACGUUUCGCGAUGUAAACAUUAAAUAUUUGUUCAGUUUGAGGAAGCGAAUCGAUAAUAGACGUUGAAAUAUGUAUGCAAUACAGACUAUCAUUGCCGAUUGUAGUACUGGCUAAAAAAAUACCUUUUAUGACAGGUUUACUGGAUUAUGAAAGACUGAUAAACAUAAAAUUGACAACUCAUCUCCCCAACGAUACUUUGUGUGGCUCAUUCUCGGAACAAACCCAUAGUCAGUGAGAAAACUACAGUGUAAAAAGACCACUUGAUUGUGACAAUUAUGGCUGACCAAGCAAAUGUUAUCAUUUAAAAUAAAGAAAACUUCCAGUUCAAUAUACAUUUUAUACCAAUUAUGACAUUGGCCAACACAGAAAAUAAUUAUAAGGUUGAUUUUCUCAAAAUUGACUGUUACAAUUGGAUACUGUUUUAAGCUUCAUUCUACUUUGUCUGAAAAUAAAAGUCCUAAAUGAUGUAAUAGAAACAUACAUAUUUAAUUUUUAGUUUUACAAGGAUAUAUAUAUAUAUAUAUAUAUAUAUAUAUAUAUAUAUAUAUAUAUAUAUAUAUAUAUAUAUAUAUAUAUAUAUAUAUACAUAUAUUAUAAUAUCUUUUUAUCGAUGGCCAAUCAAUUUAAGUUUAACUAAUAUAUACAUACACAUUUUAUACAUGUGUAUGCUUUGAUUUUUUUUCUAUUGAAGCCAAAUUUAUAUCCUAUUAGAUAGAUAGAUAAUAUCACAGCAGUAUUCCUAGUUUGUCUGCAAGUACUGCAGAAAUCAUGGAUUAUUAUUUUACUGAGUCAGCCUUAAUCUUUAUAUUAUAAUUGUUAAAACAGAUUAAGAUGUGCAUUAUACAAUUGAGGAUGCAUCAAGAUUAAAAAAUGGUACAUGUAUAAAUUAAUAAAGAAUCAAUAACAAUCAGAAACUGUGCAUUUUUUUCAGUAUUGUGUGGAAGGAUUUGAAGUAAUUAUGUGUUUUUGAAAAAUGAUUUAUGUGAAUUUGAAUAAAUAUAUAAAUUUAGUGAUUUUCUCAGACAAAACUGUUAAUUACAUACUAAAGUAUUCAGAAUGUAUUAUUGUAAUUUUCAUUCGAAUUUUUUAGUACAAAAAGCACUUUUCCCUGGCAUUUGUAUUUAUAGUAAUUGCAUAUUUUAUAAUUCUGACAGCAUUUAUAAACUGUGUUCAUGCAAGCAUGAAACCGGUUUCAUUUUUUGAGUAUUUAAACAAGAGGGCCAUGAUGGCCCUGUAUCGCUCCACUGCUGAAAAAAGGCUGAAACAAAUUUCUCUGCAUGUGCAAAUACUUAAAUAUAGGCCCUAUUUAAGCACAUGUACACUUUUGUGACCUUCUGGGCUGGGUCAAAUUUAACCCCAGGGGCAUAAUUUGAGCAAAUUUUGUAGAGGACUACUAUAUCUCACUACAUACAAAAUGUGGUAGCCCUAGGUCCUAGAGUUAAGGACAAGAAUAUUUUUAAAGUUUUCACAAAAUAAGCAAGAUAUAAGCGUAUAUAAUGUUCAAUUUUGUGACAUGCAGGUCAGGAUCAAAUUUGACCCAAAGGGCAUAAUUUGAACAAACUUGGUAGAGGACUAUAAGAUGUUACUGCAUACCAAAUUUGGUAGCCAUAGUCCAAAUGGUUUUUGACAAGAAGAUUUUUAAAGAUUUCACAAAAUAGGCGCUUUAAAAGCGUUUAUUCAAUUUUGUGACCCCCUGGGGCAGGGUCAAAGUUGACCCCAGAGGCAUUAUUUGAACAAAUUUGGUAGAGGUUUAUUAGAUGUCACUACAUACCAAAUUUGGUAGCCCUAGGCCCAAUGGUUAUGGACAACAAGAUUUUUAAAGUUUUCACAAAAUAGGCCCCAUAUAAGUGUAUGUUCAGUUUUGUGACCCCGUGCAGGGUCAAAUUUGACCCAAGGGGCAUAAUUUGAACAAACUUGGUAGAGAACUAUAACAUGUCACUACAUACCAAAUUUGGUAGCCCUAUGCCUUAUGGUUAAGGACAAGAAGAGUUUUUAAAUAUUCACAAAAUAGGCACUAUAUAAGCAUAUAAUUGAUUUUGUGGCCCCCGGGGCAGGGUCAAAUUUGACCCCUGGGGCAUAAUUUGAACAUACUAAGUAGAGGACUAUACAAUGUCACUACAUACCAAAUUGUGUAGCCCUAGGCCUAAUGGUUAUGGACAAGAUUUUUUUUUAAGUUAUCACAAAAUAGGCAUUAUAUAAGCAUAUGUUCAAUUUUGUGACCCCCGGGGCAGGGUCAAAUUUGACCCAAGGGAUUAAAUUUGAACAAAUUUGGUAGAGGACUAUUAGAUGUCACUAUAUACCAAAUUUGAUAGCCCUACGCCGGAUUGUUAUGGACAAGAAUUAUUUUGAAGUUUUCACAAAAUAGGCCUUAUAUAAGCAUAUGUUCAAUUUUGUGACCCUCGGGGCAGGGUCAAACUUGACCCCAGGGGCAUAAUUUGAACAAACUUGGUAGAGGAUUAUAAGAUGCCACUACAUACCAAAUUUGGUAGCCCUAGGCCCAAUGGUUAUGGACGAGAAGAUUUGUAAAGUUUUCACAAAAUAUACCCUAUAUAAGCAUAUGUUCAAUUUUGUGACCCCCGGGGCAGGGUCAAAUUUGACCCCAGGGGUAUAAUUUGAACAAAUUUGGUAGAGGACUAUUAGAUGUGUCUACAUACCAAAUUUGAUAGCCCUAGGCCCAAUGGUUAUGGACGGGAGAUUUUGAAAGUUUUCACAAAAUAGGCCUUAUUUAAGCAAAUUUUCAAUUUUGUGACCCCCAGGGCAGAGUCAAAUUUGACACAGGGGCAUAAUUUGAACAAAUUUGAAAGAGGUUCACCCCAGGAACAUUCCUAAGAAAUUUCAUCAGAAUUGGACCAGUAGUUUAGGAGAAGAUGUUUAAAGGAAAAGUUUAUGCAUGGAUGCACGAUGGACACAGGACCUUUGGCCAGUGGAGCUAAAAAUCAAAUUAAACAUUUAGUUUUGAUGUAAAAUCAGUUUUUAUAUGCAAGUGUUUAUUUCACUUAUAAAUUAAAACAGCAUAUUAUUCAUUAUUGAAAAGAUUAUUCCAAGCUUGAUGUCAUAUUUCAACUUUGCACAGUGUAGUUAAUUGAACAUUGUAUUGAACUGUAUGGGCAGCUAUAUUUUUUAAUUUAUGUAUGUUGUAUUAUACAAAAUGCAUUAUUUCUACCACAAGUAAACCAUAUAAGGCCUACUGCUACUAAAUAGGCACUGGUAUGAAUUUGACACUGUUUUUGAUGCUCAUACAAAACUUUAAUAAUUACUACACUUUAGUAUAUUAAAUAUUUUCAAGUUUUUGUUCAUCAUUUUUUGCAAAAGAAAAGAGUGUCUUAAUGCAUUUGAAAAUAUACUUAAAACAAACUAAAAAUGCAUUUUAACAUACCUUUUUCCUUGUAAAGUGUAUUUGGGAUGAUAAAAAAUACACUUGAAGAGUAUUAAUGCUGGAAAAAUGCAGAAAAAAAUACAUUUGUUUCUGUUAGAAGUGUGUCUUGUCUGCAUUUUUAAGUGUAUUAAAUGCACAUCAAAUGCAGAUAAAUACAAUGCCAAUACUGUUACAUGUAUUGUAAUGGACAUAAAAUGCACUUGUUCUUGUAAUUAAAUGCUUUAGUGAAUUGAAAUAACCUUUUAUAACGUUUUAACAAUUAAUAAUACCUUUUUAUAUAAAUUUUCUUUUGAAAUGUGACACUUAAAUGAUUUUUGCACCACUAGUAAGAGGUAUAAUUUGUGCUCAUAAUGCUUUAUCAUUACACUAUAUAAUAUCAUUUGUUGUAUAAAAAUUGCCCGUAAAAUUCAUGUGAAAGCUCAAGAGAUCAAUAGCAGCGUGCUAUACCCUGCUCCUUUUUACAUGACUUGAUGGUAUUUAGUCCCCAAUUCUACAUGGCUAAGGGAAAAUUAAUGUGCAGAUUUGACAAAUAAGUCUUAACUGGGAUCCAAUAGGCAGACUUUCAUAUUACUUGUAUUUAAUUUAAAUCAUGAUCUGAAUUGCUCUUUGGCAAAUCUUUGUUGGUCACAGUAUUCAACUGAAUUUUGUUCACUUUGUAGUGAUUAUAUUUUCUAUAUUUAUCAGACAACACCUUUCUUCAAAAGUUUAACAUGAUUGCUUGGUUAAUUUAGAAACAAAAUCAAUGCAUCAUAACAUAAAAUGAAAAUAUGUGUAAUAGUAAAAAUGGCAGCAAAAAAGCACUAGAUUAUCUGCCUUAAAUCUGAGACGAUAUGUUGAUGUAUUGGAAUUUCUCAUAAAUAAUGUGUUCCAUAGUUGUAUAAUUGUAUAGUAUCAUGCAUGAGUGGUGUCAAUGUCACAAUACCAAUUAAAGCCUAUAAUUUACUAAUACAAUUUGAAGUUUGAUGUGUGUUUUUUUCAAGAUCUGUUAUAUAUAAUUAUAUAUACAUGUAUAUAUAUAUAUAUAUUGUUGAAAAGUUAACAUGCAAUAAGUUUACUGAAAAGUGCCAAAUAGUUUUACUGAUUUGGUUGGAUGCAUAUAUGCAGAUAUAUCAUGGUUUGUGCAGAGGACAGUAGCAAAAACAAGAGCUGUCUCCGUAGGAUGACAUAUGCCCCCGAUAACCGCUUUCAUAGAAGUUAUGAGCAUUUUUCAAAACCUAAACGCCGACCCUAAGUUCAAGGUCAAAGGGGUCAAAAUUUGUGUGUGUAUGGGAAGGCCUUGUCCAUAUACACAUGCAUACCAAAUAUGAAUGUUACAUCUGAAGCGACAUAGAAGUUAUGAGCAUUUUUCAAAACCUAAAUGCAAAGUGUGACGGAUAGACAGACGGACAGUGCGAUCACUAUAUGCCCUCCUUUGGGGGCAUAAAAAUGUGUUUCACAUUGUUUUGGUAAAUUAGUAAUGUAGUUAUAAGAACAGAAUCAUCAAUUAUAAAGUUAUUGAUUAUAAAGUGUUGCUGGCAUAUUUGAUGCAUUCUUCUAGCUAUAAGAAGGUCCCUGUUUUAUCCCCACUGGCACCGAGUGAGGGUUCUCAAAAUCUUUAAACAAUAUAAAUAACUACAUAUAGGGUCAAGAGCCUUGUUGAUAUGGGGGCUAAACACCUGAAAUCAAAGCGACCCAGGAUAAAGGCCGAGGCCAAAUAAAUAAACCAGAGGCCGCAUGAGCCUGCUAUACUCUGAACAAGUAUUGUUUCUUCUCAGAAAACUGGCUUAAGUGUCUUACUAAGCUUUAGACUUUGAGUUUCAGUGCAAUCAAUCUAAAAUAAAUUGGUCAAAUUAAAUAAUAAUUUGUAAAAAAUAAACAUUCUGCACAAAUUCAAUUAUUUACUUUACCUGUGUGCAUGAAUCAUUUUAGUCUUGAUGGUUAGUGAACUAUGUCAAAAGCACCAUAUCUAUGAAACACUUGUAUUUUGAAUAGUGCAAGGUUCCACAGAAAUAAUGCUGAUGAUAAUUCUACACGAUGAUGAAUUACUAGAUAUAUUUCUAAAUUCCAUUUCCACCAACAAUUCGGUUAUUCCACUACCAGUUCACAUGCUUCAUACACAGUUGAAAAUAACACUAUUCCACUCAUCAACCGUGACAAAUGUACUCAUUUUUUCAACUUUUCGCAAUUAAAUUGUCUUCUACUGUUA